CGGGAAUAAAACUAUAAGACGAAAAGACCCUAUGGAGCUUUAAACUUAUUACCACUUAUUUAACCAUGUAACAGCUUANAUAAUAAUAAUGCUCUCUAAUAGUUUUCGGUUGGGGCAACCCUGGGGGAAAAUAAAUCCCCCAGAUUGAAAAAAAUAAUCCUUAUAUAAGAACUACAGUUCAAAUAAACAAAAUUUUGACAAAACUGACCCAGUUAGCUGAUCAGUGAACCAAGUUACCCUAGGGAUAACAGCGCUAUCCAUUUUGAGAGUCCAUAUUGACAAAUGGGUUUACGACCUCGAUGUUGGAUCAGGGUAUCCUAGCAGUGCAGCCAUUGCUAAUGGUUCGUUUGUUCAACGACUAACACCCUACGUGAUCUGAGUUCAAACCNGACG
rnacentral:rRNA from 1 species